rnacentral:rRNA from 1 species
GACGAACGCUGGCGGCGUGCUUAACACAUGCAAGUCGAACGGAAAGGCCCUGCUUUUGUGGGGUGUUCGAGGGGCGAACGGGUGAGUAACCCGUGAGUAACCUGCCCUUGACUUUGGGAUAACUUCAGGCAACUGGGGCUAAUACCGGCUAGGAGCUCCUGCUGCAUGGUGGGGGUUGGAAAGUUUCGGCGGUUGGGGAUGGACUCGCGGCUUAUCAGCUUGUUGGUGGGGUAGUGGCUUACCAAGGCUUUGACGGGUAGCCGGCCUGAGAGGGUGACCGGCCACAUUGGGACUGAGAUGCGGCCCAGACUCCUACGAGAGGCAGCAGUGGGGAAGAUUGCACAAGGGGCGGAAGCCUGAUGCAGCAACGCCGCGUGCGGGAUGACGGCCUUCGGGUUGUAAACCGCUUUCGCCUGUGACGAAGCGUGAGUGACGGUAAUGGGUAGAGAAGCACCGGCUAACUACGUG